rnacentral:rRNA from 1 species
AGCAGUCGCCGCGGGAACACGUAGGUGGCAAGCGUUGUCCGGAAUUAUUGGGCGUAAAGGGCUCGCAGGCGGUUUCUUAAGUCUGAUGUGAAAGCCCCCGGCUCAACCGGGGAGGGUCAUUGGAAACUGGGAAACUUGAGUGCAGAAGAGGAGAGUGGAAUUCCACGUGUAGCGGUGAAAUGCGUAGAGAUGUGGAGGAACACCAGUGGCGAAGGCGACUCUCUGGUCUGUAACUGACGCUGAGGAGCGAAAGCGUGGGGAGUGAACAGGAUUAGAUACCCCUGUAGUCCCUGUCUCUUAUAC